rnacentral:rRNA from 1 species
GGGGAAUUUUGGACAAUGGGCGCAAGCCUGAUCCAGCCAUGCCGCGUGCAGGAUGAAGGCCUUCGGGUUGUAAACUGCUUUUGUACGGAACGAAAAGGUGCCUUCUAAUAAAGGGCGCUCAUGACGGUACCGUAAGAAUAAGCACCGGCUAACUACGUGCCAGCAGCCGCGGUAAUACGUAGGGUGCGAGCGUUAAUCGGAAUUACUGGGCGUAAAGCGUGCGCAGGCGGUCUUGCAAGACAGUGGUGAAAUCCCCGGGCUCAACCUGGGAACUGCCAUUGUGACUGCAAGGCUGGAGUACGGCAGAGGGGGAUGGAAUUCCGCGUGUAGCAGUGAAAUGCGUAGAUAUGCGGAGGAACACCGAUGGCGAAGGCAGUCCCCUGGGCCUGUACUGACGCUCAUGCACGAAAGCGUGGGGAGCAAACA